rnacentral:tRNA from 7 species
GCCGAAGUGGUGGAAUUGGUAGACACGCUAUCUUGAGGGGGUAGUGGCGUAAGCCGUGCCGGUUCAAGUCCGGCCUUCGGCACCA